AGAGUUUGAUCCUGGCUCAGGAUGAACGCUAGCGGGAGGCUUAACACAUGCAAGUCGAGGGGUAACAGGGGUAGCAAUACCUGCUGACGACCGGCGUACGGGUGAGUAACGCGUAUGCAACCUGCCCUAUACAGGAGGAUAGCCCGGAGAAAUUCGGAUUAAUACUCCAUGUAGCAUUUUUUUCGCAUGAAUUAGAUGUUAAAGAUUUAUCGGUAUAGGAUGGGCAUGCGUCCCAUUAGCUAGUUGGUGAGGUAACGGCUCACCAAGGCAUCGAUGGGUAUGGGGUCUUAAAGGAUGGUCCCACACACUGGCACUGAGACACGGGCCAGACUCCUACGGGAGGCAGCAGUGAGGAAUAUUGGUCAAUGGGCGAGAGCCUGAACCAGCCAUCCCGCGUGCAGGAUGACAGUCCUAGUGAUUGUAAACUGCUUUUCUAUAAGAUGAAUAAGGACUACGUGUAGUUCGAUGACCGUAUUAUAGGAAUAAGCAUCGGCUAACUCCGUGCCAGCAGCCGCGGUAAUACGGAGGAUGCAAGCGUUAUCCGGAUUUAUUAGGUUUAAAGGGUGCGUAGGUGGGCGUUUAAGUCAGUGGUUAAAGCCAAUAGCUUAACUAUUGUAUGCCAUUGAAACUGGAUGUCUUGAAUGGGUAGAGGUAGGCGGAAUGUGUUGUGUAGCGGUGAAAUGCUUAGAUAUAACACAGAACACCGAUUGCGAAGGCAGCUUACUAUUCCAUUAUUGACACUGAUGCACGAAAGCGUGGGGAUCAAACAGGAUUAGAUACCCUGGUAGUCCACGCUGUAAACGAUGAUCACUCGUUUUUGGCAAUACAUCGUCAGAGACUAAGCGAAAGCAUUAAGUGAUCCACCUGGGGAGUACGUUCGCAAGAAUGAAACUCAAAGGAAUUGACGGGGGCCCGCACAAGCGGAGGAACAUGUGGUUUAAUUCGAUGAUACGCGAGGAACCUUACCUGGGCUUAAAUGUAUAGUGCAUAAUAUGGAAACAUAUUUUUCCUUCGGGACUCUUUACAAGGUGCUGCAUGGUUGUCGUCAGCUCGU
rnacentral:rRNA from 1 species